GUGACAUAUAUCUAGGCAAAUUGCCUAGAAGUGAAUCCCCUCUCCUGCUUAAGUCCUUCCCACAGAGAGCGGUUUGAUAUGUCACUGAAACCAGCAUCCAGGUGGUAUUGCUCCAUAUGCCUGAGACCCUAACAAAAGCCUAAUUACAACUCAUAUGCCUGGAGCCAGGACAUGUGCAGGAUGGUGAUGUAACUUUCCUCUCUGGAAUGGGUCCUGCACAAAGGAAUGAUAGUAACAUAUUGCAAAGCCAGACACACAGCCAUGAUGGUCCAAGUUAUAUUGGGAUUCAGCCAAUAGAAGAUAUUUUGCCUGUCAUCCCUAAGCUUAGGACAAUAGGGUCCUGCCCACAAGAAAGAUUGUGACAUCUCACUGGACAAGCACCCACCCAGACUCUGCCAAGAGAGGGGAUUAUUACAUAUUGCAGAGCCCAGCACCUAGGUGGAGUGACUCUCAUCUUUUUCUUCUACCCCGUAUAUAGCCAGCUUGGUGACCUACUAUUUGAGUCUAUACCCAGGCCCAGACCACAGAUGAAAUUGUGCAAUAUGUGGAACAAACACCUAAACAAUAUAUAACACCUUCCUUGGCUCUGUCUACAAAGGGCACUUUUAUAUAUCACUGGGACCAUCAACCAGGUGAUGUUAAUUAUCUUCCUGAAACCUGUCUACAAAGAGAGUUGUGUCGUAUACCUAGGCCCGUCAUGUAAGUGAUGUCAGUCCCUUCUACUGCCUUGGCCCUGCACUUACAGUGCAUUGUGACACAUAACAAGGUACUGCACACAGACGAUGUGAUUCUCCUUUUUGGGUUCUGCCAAAAGGAAGCAUUGUAAUAAAUCGCUUGGCUCAGUACCAAGGUGAUGUUUCUUUGCUUUUGCCUGGGCCCUGAUAACAGGGAGAUUGUGAUCUAUUGCUGGGCCCAACAAAAAUGUGAGGUCACUCUCCAGCCGUGGUACUUCACAUAAGCGCCAUUGUGACAUGUAUCUAGGCCAAUUGCCUAGGUGAAGUGAGUUUCCUCUCUUGCCAAAGUCCUGCCCACAGAGGGGGUUUUGAUAUGUCACUGAAAUCAGCAUUCAGGUGAUGUGACUCUUCUGCCAGGGUCCUGCGUACUAGGUGGAUUGUGACAUCUCACUGGACCCGCAACCAUGUAGGUCAUGUGACUUUCAUGCCUUCUCACUGGCCACAGGUGAUGUUGUGCCAUAUAACUGAGACCGUAUCAAAAGCCUAAUAACAAGACGUAUGUCUGGAGCCCCGAUAUGCACAGGAUGGUGAGUCUUAUCGUUCAACUUUUCCACAAGUGUAAUUGUGACAUAUACCUCUGCCCAGCUCCUGAAUUAAUUAUUCUGCCUAGGUAUCGCCCACAAAUGAGAAUUUGACAAAUAACAGAGCCAAGCACCUUGAUGAUUUGACCGCGUUAUCUUAACAAUGUCCUCUGGAGGGAUUGUAACAUAUUUCUGGACCCAUUUUC
rnacentral:lncRNA from 10 species